AUUGAACGCUGGCGGCAUGCUUUACACAUGCAAGUCGAACGGUAACAGGCCGCAAGGUGCUGACGAGUGGCGAACGGGUGAGUAAUGCAUCGGAACGUGCCCAGUCGUGGGGGAUAACGCAGCGAAAGCUGCGCUAAUACCGCAUACGAUCUCUGGAUGAAAGCGGGGGGCCGUAAGGCCUCGCGCGAUUGGAGGGGCCGAUGGGAGAUUAGGUAGUUGGUGGGGGAAGGGGCCACCAAGCCAACGAUCUGUAGCUGGUAUGAGAGGACGACCAGCCACACUGGGACGGGGACUGGGGCCGGACUCCGACGGGGGGCAGCAGUGGGGAAUUUUGGAGAAUGGGCGCAAGCCUGAUCCAGCAAUGCCGCGUGAAUGAAGCAGGCCGUCGUGUUGUAAACUGCUUUUGUACGGAACGAAACGGUCUGAGUUAAUACCCUGGGCUAAUGACGGUACCGUAAGAAUAAGCACCGGCUAACUACGUGCCAGCCGCCGCAGUAA
rnacentral:rRNA from 1 species